UUGGAUAAUAUGCUGAGCCUUAAGUUAGGUCCAUCAAAUCCAGUCUGAAGUAUUGACUAGCUGUGAGUUUCUGAGCAAGUCGUUUAAACCUCUGUCUGCCUCAGUUUCCUUAUCUUAAAAAAAGGGGGCAAUAAUAAUGAUAUUAACCUCCAAGGGUUGCUGUGAAAAUCAAAUGAGCUAAUAUUUAAAAAGCCCUUAACACAAUGCCUGGCACAUAGUAGGUGCUUAAUAAAUUCCUGCUUCCCUUAUCACUCCUUUGUAUUUGAUUGUCAGAGCCCAGAACUGUAUCACUUCCCUUUCAGUCUCAGGAAUGGCAGGAGUGAGGGAGCAACAAGGGUGUGGAAAGUUAAAGUAUAAAAAAAUGUAAGGACUGAUUUUGUAAAUAAAUGGAACUCUCACUGAACUUUAAUAAAAAAGAAAAAAAGAGAAGGAAGGAAGGAAAGGCCCAGUGGGUGGGGGAGAAAAUGUGUCAACACAGGACAUUUAGAGGGACAGGAAGCCAAAAGCUGAAAUGAAAUAUGAGAAGGAGAAGUGUGUUUGUGUUCAUGUGUUACCAUGUGUGCAGAGGUCUGUUGGCGUUUCCCUGGACCUCUGUAUGUGCUUCUGGCUACAUUUUUCACUGUGUAAUUAUUUAGGAAAAAGGUCAUGUGUGGAUAUUGGCAUCUACCUUGAAAUCAUAAGGGAAAGGAGAUUAGAGACGUAGAUAUAAGCUCUGGAUCAUAGUGUUCAUUGCCAGGUUCCUACAUGGCUGGCUCUGAUAAGGUGUCUUGAAGUUGAUCAGAACUUCCUUGGGGGUGGGGAGGAGGUUAGAGACAAUGCUGAGAACUGGCGUGAGGAACAUAGCCAAUGGAGGGGAGAAAAAAAACACAAGGAAAGGUUAUAAUUUCCAAUCCAUUUUGCUUUUUUUCUGUAAAAUUGGGAGGAAAGUCAGGAAAGCAGAUUCCUUGGCAGAGACAAUAUGGAAAGACAAAGGUUCUGGGGCAGCUAGGUAGCACAGUGAUCAGAGCUUCAGACCUGGAGUCAGGAGGACCUGGGUUCAAAUUUGACCUCAGAUACUUCCUAGCUGUAUGACUCUGGGCAAGUCACUUGCCCCAAUUGCUUAGACCUUCCUGUUCAUUCUACCUUGAAGCUAAUAAGUGUAUCAACUCUAAGGCAGAAGGUACUGCACAGAUGAAUCUACAUGAAACCCUCCCUAACUUGCUGCUGAAAGUGAUUUAUCUUUCCUAGAAUUUCUGUUGCUGCUUUGGACCCCUCCUUCCUUCUUUAUCACAUUCAGUUUUGUGUUAAUUUUCAUCUUUUUUUUAUCUGUGUCUUAUCACAUUAAAUUAUAAGUUCUAUGAGGACAGGCAGUGUUUUUUUUUUUGCACCUAGUAAGCCUUAAUAAAUGUAUUAAAGUGAA